rnacentral:lncRNA from 1 species
GGCUUUCAUCCGCCUAUGCCCUAGGGCUAGUGGAAGACUUAAGAUGGCGGCGUUUGCACGGAGUGCAAUCACUGCGUCCUUACGGGGGUUGCAAGGCGUCCGAAGUAUGAGUCCACUAACAAAAGUCCAGAAACUCGCCAGUUAAUAGUAUUGUGUCUCUUCAAAAUAUCGGAGAAUAAUUUCUUUCUCGCUGAUCGCCUAACUUCUACUGACGAAGCUUGGAAGUUGCAGAAGGUACUGGCUCCUGUAUCACCCAGCUCUGGAGUUGAAAGAGCUCUUCAUUCCUGAGUCUCCUGUACCACUGAGAAUAGAAAUACAAAAAAAAUUCUAAAACUUGUAUGGAACUACAAAAGACAUUAAAUAAUCAAAGUAAUCUUGAGCAACAAGGACACAGCUGGAGGCAUCACUCUACCUGAUUUUGUAAUCCAUUAUCAAAAAACUGUGGUACCAGCAUAAAAACAGAUUCACUGACCAGUGGAACAGGAAAGCCCAGACAUAACUCAUACAUUUCCAUCCAAUUGAUUUUUGACAAAAGUGGCACACAGAAUGGGGAGAGGACAAAUAAAUAAAUAAAUUGUUUUGAGAUAUCUGUAUAUCUAUAUGUGAAAUUGAACCAUUUUCUCAUAGCAUAUAGAAAAAUCAACUCAAAAUGGAUUAAAGCCUGAAAUGUUGCCUUUGAAACUGUAAAACUACUAGUAGAAAAUAUAGGGGAAAAGCUCUAUGAUGUUGUUCUGGGCAAUGAUUUCUUGGAUACAUCCUUAAAAGCAUGGGCAGCAAAAACAGCCAGACAACUAUCAGGGAACCUGCCCAGAUAGUCACAUAGGUUCUUUUCUAUUUUCCCUAAGCAUUGGCCGGGUUGAGAAAUAAAGGGACAGAGUACAAAAGAGAGAAAUUUUAAAGCUGGGCAUCCUGGGGAGACAUCACAUGUCGGUAGGUUCCGUGAUGCCCCCUGAGCCGUAAAACCAGUAAGUUUUUAUUAGGGAUUUUCAAAGGGGAGGGAGUAUACGAAUAGGAGGUGGGUCACAGAGAUCACGUGCUUCACAAGGUAAUAGAAUAUCACAAGGCAAAUGGAGGCAGGGCGAGAUCACAGGACCACAGGACUGGGUUGAAAUUAAAAUUGCUAAUGAAGUUUCGGGCACCAUCGUCAUUGAUAACAUCUUAUCAGGAGACAGGGUUUGAGAGCAACCUGUCUGACCAAAAUUUAUUAGGUGGGAAUUUCCUCGUCCUAAUAAGCCUGGGAGCGCUAUGGGAGACUGGGGCUUAUUUCAUCCCUACAGUCUCGACCAUAGAAGACAGCUACACCCAAGGGGGCCAUUUUAGAGGCCCACCCUCAGGGGCACAUUCUCUUUCUCAGGGAUGUUCCUUGCUGAGAAAAAGAAUUCGGCGAUAUUUCUCCCAUUUGCUUUUGAAAGAAGAGAAAUAUGGCUCUGUUCCGCCUGGCUCACCGGCGGUCAGAGUUUAAGGUUAUCUCUCUUAUUCCCUGAACAUUGCUGUUAUCCUGUUCUUUUUUCAAGGUGCCUAGAUUUCAUAUUGUUUAAACACACAUGCUCUACAAUUUCUGCACUUAACACAAUUAUCACAGGGUCCUGAGGCGACAUACGUCCUCCUCGGCUUACGAGAUGACAGGAUUAAGAGAUUAAAACAGGCAUAGGAAAUCACAAGGGUAUUGAUUGGGGAAGUGAUAAGUGUCCAUGAAAUCUUCACAAUUUAUGUUUAGAGAUUGCAGUAAAGACAGGCAUAAGAAAUUAUAAAAGUAUUAAUUUGGGGAACUAAUAAAUGUCCAUGAAAUCUUCACGAUCCACGUUCUUCCGCCAUGGCUUCAGCCAGUCCCUCCGUUUGGGGUCCCUGACUUCCCGCAACAGACAACUUGAGUUGCAUCAAACUAAAAAGCAUCUGCACUGCAAAGGGUACAGUUAACAGAAUGAAGACACGGGUUUUGAGAAACCAUUUUCAAAUCAUAUAUCUGAUAAGGGGCUAAUAUCCAAAAUGUAUUAAGAAACCCAAGCCCAAUAGCAAGAAAACAACUGUCUUUAAAAGGGGGAAAAGGACCUCAACUUAAAUUUUUCAGAGGAAGACAUGAGUGGCCAAUUGAUUGAUACAUGAAAAAAAUGCUCAACAUCUCUAAUCAUUAGUGAGUUGCAAAUCAAAACUGCAAGAUAUUACCUUACACCUUUUAGAAUGGCUAUUAUUAAAAGGAUGAAAGACAGGUGCUGGCAAGGAUGUGGAUAAAAGGAAGUCCCAACAUUCUGUUAGUGGGAAUAUAAAUUAGUAUAGCCAAUUUAGGAAACUAUAUGGUGGUUCCUUAAGAAACUAAAAGUACAAUUACUAUAUGAUCUAGCAAUCUCUACUUAGGUAUAUAUCCAAAGGAAUUGAAGCAGUAUGUUGAGAUCUUGCACUCCCUUAUUUUGAAAUUAUUUACAAAGCUAAUAAAUGGAAAAGACUUAAGUUUUCAUAACAGAUGAAUGGACAUAGAAGAUGUGUUGUAUAUACAUAUUGGAAUAUUUUUUAUCCUUGGAAAAGAAGGAAAAUUGUCAUUUGUGACAACAUGGAUGAAUCUGUAGUAUACUAUGCUAAGUGUUGUAAGACAGGCACAGAGAGGCAAAUACUACAUUAUAUUUGUAUGUGGAAUCUAAGAAAGGCUAACUCAUACAAGUAGAAAGUUGGAUGUUAUGGUUUCCAGGAUGUGGGUGUUGGAGAGAUGGGCAAAGGCAAGACGUUGGUCAAAGAGUACCAAUUUUCUGUUAGGAGGAAUAAGUUUUAGACAUAUUUCACAGCAUGGUGACCAUUGUCACUGACUGUAUAUUUUAAAAUUGUUAUAAGUAGAUAUUAAAGUUGUCACAACAAAAGUAGGUGAAGUUAUGGAUAUGUUAAUGUGCUUGAUUUAGUUAUUACACUAUGUAUACAUACAAAAACAUCAGAUAGUUCCCUGGAAUUAUAUACAAUUAUUACUUGUCAAUUAUAAAAAAAAGCCCUACUGCAACCACUAAAAAGGAUUUUCAUAUAAUAGAGGGAAAAAUCGUUAAAGAUAAUAAUACAUUAUUUUAGAAAAUAUUAACUUAUAAAAAGUAGUAUAGGAGGGAUUCUGUAAAAGAAGAUAGACAUAGAAUUUUAAAAUGUAUAAUGGAAAAUUUAAAUCCAGCUGUACUGAUGGAUCAAGCAAUCCAAACCAGUCUGAUUGACCAAGUGGAUAUUUAAAAAACAAUCAAACUAUAAGGUGUCUGUUGUAGGCAGUUUAUAAAAUACAAAAGUGUUGAAAGAAAUAGGAUGGAAAUAGAAAUAUCCAAGUAGCAACCACAAAAAAACUGGAAUGUCUGCACUAACAUCAUACAAAACAAACCAAAUGAAGGUUAAAAAUAUUGAAAUUAUACAAAAUAUGUUCUAUGACUAAAAUUUAAUGAAAUUAGAAAUAACACAGAGAUAGGAACUAUACAUAUUUGUGCAAAUUUAAAAAGUUAUGCUGAGUGUGGUGGCUCACACCUGUAAUCCCAGCACUUUGGGAGGCCGGGGAGGGUGGAUCACUUGAAGUCAGGAGUUGGAGACCAGCCUGGCCAACAUGGUGAAACCCUGUCUC